CUCUCUCAUCCCUUCUUCCUCCUCUUCCUUUUCUCUCCCUCUCAGAAAACCCCCAGUCCUGUAUGUAGAGAGGAAUCCUGCAGCGAACGCUGGGCAAGACCUAAUGGCCUGGAUCAUAGGUGUUAAUAAUGAUUGUUCCUUAUUAUAAGCAGACAACAAACUGCUGAGAACCUGCGCUGCUGCCCGCUGUGCAAUGCUGAGCCUUCUCACCUGCUCUGUGGGCUGAUGAGGGUUUCCUCGGACCCCGUUGUUUUUCUAGUGCGAAAAUCCAAAGCAGCUGAUGAGAAGAGACGCUCCUUGGCUAAACAAGCACGAGAAGACUACAAGAGGUUAUCCCUCGGGGCCCAGAAAGGAAGAGGAGGUGAGAGGCUGCAAAGCCCCUUGCGUGUUCCGCAGAAACCAAAAAGACCUCCGCUUCCACCCAAGCCUCAGUUUCUAAACCCAGGAGGGGCAUAUCCUCAAAAACCUCUUAGAAAUCAGGGAGUGGCGAGGACAGUGUCCAGCUCUGCCCAAGAGGACAUCAUCCAGUGGUUUAAAGAGGAGCAGCUACCACUUCGAGCG
rnacentral:sRNA from 1 species